rnacentral:rRNA from 1 species
GACGAACGCUGGCGGCGUGCUUAACACAUGCAAGUCGAACGAAGUGGCGGACGGGUGAGUAACGCGUAAUAAACCUGCCCUUCAGAGGGGGACAACAGUUGGAAACGACUGCUAAUACCGCAUACUGAAGGAGGGGAUUGCGUCUGAGUAGCUAGUUGGAGGGGUAACGGCCCACCAAGGCGAUGAGCAGUAGCCGGUCUGAGGGGAUGAACGGCCACAUUGGGACUUGGACACGGGCCAGACUCCUUCUGGAGGCAGCAGUUGGGAAUCUUCCGCAAUGGACGAAAGUCUUGCGAAGCAACGCCGCGGGGGUGAUGACGGCCUUCGGGUUGUAAAGCUCUGUUAAUCGGGACGCGGUACCGGAAUAGAAAGCCACGGCUAACUACGUGCCAGCAGCCGCGGUAAUUC